GUGGGGGAUAUUGCACAAUGGGGGAAACCCUGAUGCAGCAAUGCCGCGUGAGGGAAGAAGGUCUUCGGAUUGUAAACCUAAGUAGCCAGGGACGAUAAUGACGGUACCUGGAGAGUAAGCUCCGGCUAACUACGUGCCAGCAGCCGCGGUAAUACGUAGGGAGCGAGCGUUGUCCGGAUUUACUGGGUGUAAAGGGUGCGUAGGCGGGAUGGCAAGUCAGAUGUGAAAUACCGGGGCUUAACCCCGGGGCUGCAUUUGAAACUGUCGUUCUUGAGUGAAGUAGAGGCAGGCGGAAUUCCUAGUGUAGCGGUGAAAUGCGUAGAUAUUAGGAGGAACACCAGUGGCGAAGGCGGCCUGCUGGGCUUUAACUGACGCUGAGGCACGAAAGCAUGGGGAGCAAACAGGAUUAGAAACCCUAGUAGUCC
rnacentral:rRNA from 1 species